rnacentral:lncRNA from 1 species
GCGGGAAGGUGGGCUGGGGGCGGGGAGCUCUGGGGGCGUGCCGGCUGCGCGGGGACACUAGCUCUGCCUGCUGCCACUGGCUCCAAGUUCCCACCCUCGCUCUCCCGCGGAGCCUGCCUGAGCCCGCCCCUUCGGUGCGGAGGUGCAAACGCCGCCGCGGUCAGCCCAGCCUGCCUUGCCGCGCGAUUUGGGCCCGUUCGGCCACCGCGGUCGGCUGGGAGCCGGCUGGGAGGACCCGGUGGCUGCUUCAUCUCGGCCUGCAGUGCCCCGCAGGGCCCAAGCUUCUCCUCGCGGUCUCCGGAGCCCGGUUCCUGGCCUGGACGCCUUGCAGGGGCCGGAGAACGGCUAAGGUAGAUAUGAACUUUUGGAAAGCUACUUAUCAAGCAACAUGUACUUGGAUGCUUGAGCACACAUGAAUGUCAGAAAUAUCAGAUGUUUCUGUUAAACACAAAAUUAUGGAUGGAAUUUGUAUGGAUGGAAGAACAGAUGGAUGGAUGGACAAGUGGAUGGGUGAGGGAAGAUACACAUUUUGUAACUAAUCUCUCAGAACUAUCACAUGAAGUCUUGUGACUUAUAUGACUACCUUGUGUCUUAAAUAUCACCUCUAUUGCACUGAUAGGGAUUGCUUGUUUCCAUCCAAAUACACUUCUCUCUCUCUCUUUUUUAAUGGACUGUGGCUGUCAGAGAACAAGUGCUGGUUUGUUUGUGCUCUGUAAUGUCUGCCACAAAGUACACACAGAACAGUAAUUUCACAUAUAAAAAUAUCUGUAUUUUAGUAGUUAUUAUUUAUCUGAAGAAAUGUAAUGGACAAAACAUUCUCUACCACUGACUUGUAACAACUUCUAUU